UUGAGGAUAUAUAAGGAAGAAUUGACCAUUUGUAGCACAGUUGAUCACUGACCUUUGAACCAUGAAGACGUUUUUAGUUCUCGCCAUCUGCUUUGUUGCUGCCCAGUCCCUGACGGACGAGCAGAAAGAGCGUCUGAAGAAGCACCGCUCAGAGUGUCUGGCCGAGACCAAGGCUGACGAGCAGCAAGUCAACAAACUCAAAUCUGGCGACUUUAAGACGGAGAAUGAGUCACUGAAGAAGUACGCACUGUGCAUGCUGAUCAAGUCCGAGCUGAUGACCAAGGAUGGCAAGUUCAAGAAGGAUGUGGCCCUCGCCAAGGUCCCUAACGCAGCUGACAAACCAGUAGUCGAGAAGUUGAUAGACAACUGCCUGGCCAACAAAGGCAACACACCACACCAGACUGCCUGGAACUACGCCAAAUGCUACCACGAGAAAGACCCCAAACACUCCAUUUUCCAAUAAACUACCCUCCAAUACCAAAAACAACAACUAACACACUAGCACAUACAAACUAAGCCCAAAUGAUCGCGUUUUGUAUAAGAAAACUUACACUUUUCGAAUUGUCAGCAAAUAAUCGUAAAUGUCAUCAGCAAAAUAAAAUUAGUAGGUAGUAGAAAAUAUGUCUUAUUCCGUAGACGCGAUGAACAUCCACUAAUAAGUGGAAUUUUCUUUGCUGACAAUACUAACAAUACGUUAAUAUUAUCCUAAACUUCGCACACAUUCCAAUAUUUUUACGAUUGCUGGCAUCUUGACAAAUCACUGUAAUGACAUCAAAUUUCAACUAAAUUACGAUGUUGCCAUUAAUUUUUAAAAUCACCUUAUUAAAGUUUUCUCAUACAAACGCAUUUCUACUUCGCAUUUUUAGGAUAGUUUUGCCAAACUUAAAUUCUAACAUGUAACUGCCGUCACGAAUUUAUAAAAAAAAUAAAGUUUAAUUUGGUAUAA
rnacentral:misc_RNA from 1 species